rnacentral:rRNA from 1 species
UACGAAGGGGGCUAGCGUUGUUCGGAUUUACUGGGCGUAAAGCGCACGUAGGCGGAUUGUUAAGUCGGGGGUGAAAUCCUGGAGCUCAACUCCAGAACUGCCUUCGAUACUGGGAGUCUCGAGUCCGGGAGAGGUGAGUGGAACUGCGAGUGUAGAGGUGAAAUUCGUAGAUAUUCGCAAGAACACCAGUGGCGAAGGCGGCUCACUGGCCCGGUACUGACGCUGAGGUGCGAAAGCGUGGGGAGCAAACAGG